rnacentral:rRNA from 1 species
UACGUAGGGUGCGAGCGUUGUCCGGAAUUAUUGGGCGUAAAGGGCUCGUAGGCGGUCUGUCGCGUCGGGAGUGAAAACUCAGGGCUUAACCCUGAGCCUGCUUCCGAUACUGGCAGACUAGAGGUAUGCAGGGGAGAACGGAAUUCCUGGUGUAGCGGUGAAAUGCGCAGAUAUCAGGAGGAACACCGAUGGCGAAGGCAGCUCGCUGGGACGGUACUGACGCUGAGACGCGAAAGCGUGGGGAGCAAACAGG